rnacentral:rRNA from 1 species
AGAGAUUGAUCAUGGCUCAGGAUGAACGCUGGCGGCGUGCUUCAUACAUGCAAGUCGAACGAGAAUUGGUAGCUUGCUACCAAGGAAAGUGGCGGACGGGUGAGUAAUAUGUAGAGAAUCUGCCCUGAAGAGGGGGACAACAGAGGGAAACUCCUGCUAAUACCCCAUAUGCGCGUAGUUGAGAUACUAUUCGUGAAAGAUUUAUCGCUUCAGGAUGAGUCUGCAUCUGAUUAGCUAGUUGGGGGUGUAAUGGACCACCAAGGCGACGAUCAGUAGCUGGUUUGAGAGGAUGAUCAGCCACAAUGGGACUGAGACACGGCCCAUACUCC